AGCUUGCUGGGUGGAUUAGUGGCGAACGGGUGAGUAACACGUGAGUAACCUGCCCUUGACUCUGGGAUAAGCCUGGGAAACUGGGUCUAAUACCGGAUAGGAACGUCCACCGCAUGGUGGGUGUUGGAAAGAUUUAUCGGUCAUGGAUGGACUCGCGGCCUAUCAGCUUGUUGGUGAGGUAAUGGCUCACCAAGGCGACGACGGGUAGCCGGCCUGAGAGGGUGACCGGCCACACUGGGACUGAGACACGGCCCAGACUCCUACGGGAGGCAGCAGUGGGGAAUAUUGCACAAUGGGCGAAAGCCUGAUGCAGCGACGCCGCGUGAGGGAUGACGGCCUUCGGGUUGUAAACCUCUUUCAGUAGGGAAGAAGCGAAAGUGACGGUACCUGCAGAAGAAGCACCGGCUAACUACGUGCCAGCAGCCGCGGUAAUACGUAGGGUGCGAGCGUUAUCCGGAAUUAUUGGGCGUAAAGAGCUCGUAGGCGGUUUGUCGCGUCUGUCGUGAAAGUCCGGGGCUUAACCCCGGAUCUGCGGUGGGUACGGGCAGACUAGAGUGCAGUAGGGGAGACUGGAAUUCCUGGUGUAGCGGUGGAAUGCGCAGAUAUCAGGAGGAACACCGAUGGCGAAGGCAGGUCUCUGGGCUGUAACUGACGCUGAGGAGCGAAAGCAUGGGGAGCGAACAGGAUUAGAUACCCUGGUAGUCCAUGCCGUAAACGUUGGGCACUAGGUGUGGGGACCAUUCCACGGUUUCCGCGCCGCAGCUAACGCAUUAAGUG
rnacentral:rRNA from 1 species